AGUUUUCUCGUUUGAAUUGUUUUUACAUUUAUCAUUUCGGGUCUUUUAUAAAUGACUACAAGGUUAGGGUUUUGCUCAUUGUUGAUUGCAUAUAGAAAUAAGAUUGUUAUGUAUGCCACUGGACGAACACUAAUUGUGAAUAUUUUGAUGGGAAACUAUUGAGUAUCAAAGUUCCAAAUUAAUUUCGGGAUUUAUUUUCUUUCUCGAUAUUCAAUAACAGAAAAAAAAAAUUGCUUGUCCGCUAAAUAGGGAUUUUCUUGUUAAACAUCGUUAAAAAGAUGUGUGUCUAAGGUGAACGCCACAAGAACCCUGUAAUACUAGUACGAGAGUAUAGCAUGUAAACAUUCCUUCUUAAUGAUAUGGUUGUUUUGGAAAUCUUUUCUUACAACUCAUGUCGGCGCUAACAUGUCCUUUAGUAGUUAUUUUUUUUUCCAAAAGUCCAAUUUCACGUUUCCGCAUUUUCGUGCAUUA
rnacentral:lncRNA from 1 species